ACAAAUGUCGCCCCGGACCUCUCGCUGAUUUUUUUUCUUUGUCACAGCGCUGGGGAGAAAAGCAAGCUCCGUGGCUUGCGUGAGUUCCUGCCAAAUCGUAGCUCUUUCGAGUGAGGACGUGCUGAAACACUACAUAGAGACGGGCAAGCCCUCGGAAGCAUGUCGUUUGCCUUGAUUCCGGAGGCGGCCGUCUCCUUCUGCCGAGGAUUUGAAGCGAGCUCGUAAGUGGCAUUCUAUUUCCUGACGGUGUAUCGCAUGGUGAGUUUUGUCUAGCGACAAAAUCAAAUUUUAUUUGCACUAUUGAUGCGUCAAUCUGGUCGUCUCUUCUAGCUGACAGAUCAGAAGUGUUCAGGCGAACGGCGGUUAUAUUUGUCCGUGGACCUAAGACUUCGUUGACAGGCAAAUAUGUAAGAUUUUCUUGUUUUUUAUUUGUGGCACCUUAUUGUAAGACCGUGACAUAUUUUGCCGUUUUCUCUAGAGAACACUGCAACAAGGACUGUAGUGUGGAUAGCGUGCAUCGCUGGUCUGGCAAACUGAAAAAAAUUCUGGUAACAUGCAUGCUUGGUUACAAAAGUCUCGCGCAAUCGCUUUUCACAUUGAAUUUGGUCGCAAGUAUGCUGUAAAUUCCGACUGCACAAUAUGUGACUAGCCCGCGGCCGCUUUUAAGGUAAGAUUGUGUAUUUAUUGUACCAUUUGUUUUCCAGUGACAUUAAGAGCCAACAACGAAAACCUCGAUCCAUCCUGUCUCCACAUAUUAUCUAGUUUGUGCGCUGUGGAGCUUGAAGCACUUCUCAGAAUUUCAGCACACUCGCAUUUAUUUUUUUCCCGACAGAAGAACAAUGCAAGUCUCACAUCUCGAUGGUAAAACGUCGCACCUGCGUACGUGUUCAGAGCCAAGAGCACGAGAACUGGCCGAAAGAAAGGAGCUGAUCCAAGAAGAAUGCCGUCCGUCUUGUACAUAUGUCAGCGCUAUCAUGCAGCGAUCACAUGGACUGUACGGUUGCGUUGCAGAAGGGCUGAUGCAAACGCUCCGCGUGAACAAUGUUGCAUGCAAAAUUAGUGCAUUUAUACAUUGCAAAAUAAACAUCUAAAGAG
rnacentral:lncRNA from 1 species